CCGAGCGAGGGCUUCGCGCCCGACCUCCAACCCUUUGAAGUGACCCAACUUUGUUGCCUUGGGGGCGACCCGGCCGCCGCGUCGGGCCCCCAACGGACCACUCAAACACUGCGUUUUGCGUCGGAGUCUGAAGGAAAUCAAUCA
rnacentral:misc_RNA from 1 species